ensembl:lncRNA
GAAAUUUCAAAAAAAUCCCAGGAAUUCCUGGAAUUCUGCUGCUUCCCAAAAAUCCCGGCAAUUCCCAAAAAUCACAGGAAUUCCCAAAAAUUCAAUUCCCAAAAAUCCCAGAAAUUCUCUAAAAGUCCAAUUCCCAAAUAUCCAGGAGUUCUCAAAAAUCCUCUGUUCCCAAAAAUCCCGGGAAUUCCUAAAAAUCCUGGAAACUCCCAAGAAUCCCAAAAAUUCCCAAAAAACCCAAUUCCUGAAAAUCUGAAAAAUUCCCCAAAAUUCCUCUCCUUCCCAAAAAUCCCGGAAAUCCCCAAAAAUCUGCUGCUUCCAAAGAUUCAAUUCCAGGAAAUCCAUUCAUUCCCAAAAAUCUGGGACUUCCCGGAAAUCCAGGAAAUUCCCAAAAAACCCCGACUUCCCAAAAAUUCCCCAUUCCCUGUUCCUGUUUCUCAUUCCCGUUUUUCCCAUUCCCGAUUCCCAUUUUUCCCGUUUCCCAUUCCCGUUCCUGUUUCUUAUUCCUGUUUUCCUCGUUCCAAAUUUUCCCAUUUCCCCACUCCCAUUCCCGUUUUUCCCAUUUUCCCAUUCCCAAUUCCCGGUUUUCCCAUUCCCAAUUCCCAUUUUUCAUUCCCAUUUUCCUCAUUCCCAUUUUUCCCAUUCCCAUUUUUCCCAUCCCCUUUUUUCCAAUCCCAUUUUCCCCAAUCCCAUUUCCCAUUUUUCCCAAUUCCCAUUUUUCCCAUUCCCAUUUUCCUCAUUCCCAUUUUUUCCAUCCCCAUCCCUGUUUUUCCCAUUUCUGUUUUUCCCAUUUUCCCCAUUCCCAUUCCCAUUCCCAAUCCCGUUUUCCCCAUUCCCAUUUCCCAAUUCCCAUUUUUCAUUCCCAUUUUCCUCAUUCCCAUUUUUCCCAUCCCCGUUUUUCCCAUCCCCUUUUUCCCAAUCCCGUUUUUCCCAUUCCCAUUUUCCCCAUUCCCAAUUCCCAUUUCUCAUUCCCAUUUUUCCCAAUCCCGGUUUUCCCAUUUUUCCCAUUCCCAAUUCCCAUUUCUCAUUCCCAUUUUUCCCCCUUCCCAUUUUCCCAUUCCCAUCCCAGUUCCCAUUCCCAUCCCAAUUCCCAUUCCCAUUCCUCCCAUUCCCAUUUUUCCCGUCCCAAUUUUUUCCCAUUCCCUUCGUUCCAAUCCCAUUUUUCCCAUUCCCAAUUCCCAUUCCCCAUUCCCAUUUUUCCCAUUCCCAAUUCCUGAUUCUUCAUUCCCAUUUUCCUCAUUCCCAUUUUUUCCAUCCCCAUCCCUGUUUUUCCCGUUCCUUUUUUUUCCCUUCCCAUUUUCCCCAUCCCCUUUUUUCCAAUCCCAUUUUCCCCAUUCCAAUUUCCCAUUUUUCCCAUUUUUCAUUCCCAUUUUCCUCAUUCCCAUUUUUCCCAUCCCCAUCCCUGUUUUUCCCAUUCCCUUUUUCCCAUUUUCCCCAUUCCCAUUUCCCAAUUCCCAUUUUUCCCCUCCCCUGUUGUCCCAUUUUUCCCAUUCCCAAUUCCCAUUUUUCAUUCCCAUCUUUCCCAAUCCCAUUUUUCCCAUUCCCGUUUUUUUCCCGAUCCCGUUUUUCCCAUUUUUCCCAUUUUUCCCAUUUUUCCAAUUCCCAUUUUUUCCAUUAUCCCCUUUAAUUCCCAUUUUUUCCCAUUUUCCCAUCCCCCCAUUAUCCCAUUUUUCCCAUUAUCCCAUUUUUCCCAUCCCCCCUUAUCCCAUUUUUCCCAUUCCCAAUUCCUGA